GACAGAGGUGCCGAGCGUUAGGCGGAAUCACUGGGCGUAAAGCGCGCGUAGGUGGCCCAGUAAGUCCGCUCUGAAAGUCAAAGGCUCAACCUUUGAAAGCGGGUGGAUACUGCUGGGCUAGAGUCCGGAAGAGGCGAGUGGAAUUCCUGGUGUAGCGGUGGAAUGCGCAGAUAUCAGGAGGAACACCAACGGCGAAGGCAGCUCGCUGGGACGGUACUGACACUGAGGCGCGAAAGCGUGGGGAGCAAACAGG
rnacentral:rRNA from 1 species